CAUACACUCCUACGGGAGGCAGCAGUGGGGAAUAUUGGACAAUGGGCGCAAGCCUGAUCCAGCCAUGCCGCGUGAGUGAUGAAGGCCCUAGGGUUGUAAAGCUCUUUCACCGGUGAAGAUAAUGACGGUAACCGGAGAAGAAGCCCCGGCUAACUUCGUGCCAGCAGCCGCGGUAAUACGAAGGGGGCUAGCGUUGUUCGGAUUUACUGGGCGUAAAGCGCACGUAGGCGGACUAUUAAGUCAGGGGUGAAAUCCCGGGGCUCAACCCCGGAACUGCCUUUGAUACUGGUAGUCUUGAGUUCGAGAGAGGUGAGUGGAAUUCCGAGUGUAGAGGUGAAAUUCGUAGAUAUUCGGAGGAACACCAGUGGCGAAGGCGGCUCACUGGCUCGAUACUGACGCUGAGGUGCGAAAGCGUGGGGAGCAAACAGGAUUAGAAACCCCAGUAGUCCCAUGA
rnacentral:rRNA from 1 species